AAGAGAUUCUUGGGAGACCAACAUAAUAUGAACUGAUGGCAACUGGAAAGAGCUUUCUAGAGAGAAGGUCUGUGGAACAAAGAAUAACUAGUCUUCAAAGCUAGAAAGAUUCCUUCGGUCUUCAAAGAGUGCGAGAGAAAAUGACUGAUGAUGUUUCUUGUGGCAUGUGAGCACACAGCUCACGUAUGCUUUUUCUUAGGCUGUUGCUGAAGAAAUCCAUCUUACCCAUCCAAGUGGUCUACACAGGAUAAAGUUUGAUUAAAAUGCCUGGAGAAUGCAUGAUGAAAACAACCUACAAGUUAACUGAGAUCUAAAACCAGAAGGCAGAUUUACUUAAACACAACUUACCUUGCAGUGUGGUUCCCUGUUUUAAAAGCUAGCAUCCACAUCCAAGGCAGUGUUCUUACAGUGUUCUCUAGUCAUAUAGUAGCGGCAGAAACUCAGUAUGUUGAUAAAACUAUAUCCAAGCGACACCGGGAGAUGGAACAAAGAGCUGGGGAAAGUUGGCUGCAUGCCUUUCUGUUUCUGGGUGACAUUCAGAAACACAGUUGAAGGGUUUUGUUGUUGUUAUUCCAAGUUUCAUGACUAAUGAAGGAUCAACUUCUAAGCCUAUCAUAUCUGCAUUAUAUGGAGGCAUUGCAGGAAAGUUCUUGCAGAUAGAUGCUAAGGAUUAAAGGUAAAGAAAUCUAUUAAUACAACAGGCCACUCGAUGUGUAUUCCCCAAAUAUGAAGUCAGAAACAUUCAUCCCCUUGCUCAAAAUGGUAAAGUAAUGGUUCCUACAUACACAAAGGCAGGGUUUUAACUGUAAAACCAUAUAGAAUUACUUCAUAGUUUAAUACAAUGCCUCCUUCAUAUUUCUUGGGGAGAGUAGGCAAUAUCUAUACCCAUGUUGGUAGAGCUCCGUAUGUGGCAGAAGAUACUGCCCUGGGUGACUUGCCUUACUGUGGUGAAAUUAUGUCUCAAGAGUUCCUUUUCUCAGGCUAUGUGAAGUGCAUAGCAAGAUGGAAGAUUAGAAGCAAUCUCCACAUAAUGCUAGGAUUGUGAGAAGUCAAAUGUAAAAGGGACCUUAUACAAAGAGAGAAAAACCAAGAAGGGCAUGAGAACGCACAAAGGAAUCCAGAGAUAGCUGAAAAGCUUGGAGAAACACAAGGACUGAGCAGCAUAAAAUGAAGAGCCAGUCUACCAGGCUCUCCAGUGGGAGAAAGUGAGCCAAAGACUCUUCCACAUUGUAAGCCAGCCAACCAAAGGAAUGGUGAGAUGGCUCACUGGGUAAAGAUGCUUGCUGCCAAGCCUGACAACCCGUAUUUCAUACUUAAGUCCCACACUGGAGAGAACCAACUCCCCUAAGUUUCCUUCUGACCUUCCCAUGCACACUGUAUGGCAUGAGGGAGACACACACACACACACACACACACACACACACACACACGUGUCUCUUCAUAUAUAGAUGAAGAGAGUCAGUCCUGCACACAGAGUAAGUUUUCAGUUCUCACAAGUUCUAAAUCCUGGGGAUUCAGCGUGAUGGAGUUGUGUAUGCCACAACUCAGCUCUGGAAAAGUCCACUGUGUCACUCUCUGCACUCUGGGGCCAUUCCCAAAUCAUGAUGACAGGGAGUGUAUUGCUUAUGACUGAGCUAGUGAGCAGGCAUGAAAACAUUGGGGUGACUUGAUGAAACAAUGAUGGAUCUGAUGAGAACUUCAUAUGGAAAUGAUUAGAAAGCUCAAGUAGUAGGAGGCUCAGACUACAAAGGCUGGUGACCCUAUUCUUUUUGGACAGAAAUAGGUAAUUCCAUGAAGAUUGAUAGCCCCAACCCAGAAGUCAACAAGGCUUUGGAACUGCGUAGCUUCCUCUUUACCAUGAAGUCCUCAGGCCCAGUGAGCACCACUGCAUGCUCCUUUAUCCUGUAGCAUGAUUAAUAAUGAACAAGAUUGAGAAGCACUGGUGUGGUCCUUUAGCAACAGACCUCAGUGCUCCAUUGGUCUCUCCCGCACCUAUCUUCAGGAGAUACCCCUUGACUUAAUCGUUAUCAAUCCAAAGAUGUACAAGCUAGGAAGUCUAAGUGGGAGCCUGCCUGGCCCACAGGCUGCAAAGCUAACCAUGCUCAGAAGCAGCUCCAGGUACACAACGAAAUGAUUAAACCUCUGAGCAGCUUAUCCUUGACCGCAUUAGGCACAGUACCAGUUCAACAGAAUAAAACUUCAUUAGU
ensembl:processed_transcript Gm19301 predicted gene, 19301